rnacentral:rRNA from 1 species
GAUGAACGCUGGCGGCGUGCCUAAUACAUGCAAGUCGAGCGAACAGACGAGGAGCUUGCUCCUCUGACGUUAGCGGCGGACGGGUGAGUAACACGUGGAUAACCUACCUAUAAGACUGGGAUAACUUCGGGAAACCGGAGCUAAUACCGGAUAAUAUAUUGAACCGCAUGGUUCAAUAGUGAAAGACGGUUUUGCUGUCACUUAUAGAUGGAUCCGCGCCGCAUUAGCUAGUUGGUAAGGUAACGGCUUACCAAGGCAACGAUGCGUAGCCGACCUGAGAGGGUGAUCAGCCACACUGGAAGAGAGGCUCGGUCGAGACACCUACGAGAGGCAGCAGUAGGGAAUCUUCCGCAAUGGGCGAAAGCCUGACAGAGCAACGCCGCGUGAGUGAUGAAGGUCUUCUGAUCGUAAAGCUAUGUUAUUAGGAAAGAACAAAAGUGUAAGUAACCAUGAACGUAUUGACGGUACCUAGUCAGAAAGCCCCGGCUAACUACGUG